UAGUUCACAAACAUUUCCUUUAUUUGGCAAAGUUGGAGUAAAAGUAAUUACAGAAUUUAUGAAAAAGACUUAAAGAAGAAUUCCCAUCACAAAUACCGCCAAGAAUUAUGUUAAAGUGCGUGGACAAGAAGUGGUCAAUAUAUUCACAGAAAAAACUGUAAAGAAAAAGAAAUCGGCGAUCUUGACGUAUUUAACAAUAAUGAUACAAAAAACAUUUUAAGCCAGAUGGUUGGUGACUUUAUACUGAGAAUUGUAAUUACAUCCUACAAGAUUUUCAUAACAAUUUAAUUCUUUUCAAUUAUACAUAAAUAAAUUCUUCCUCUCUCUGUCAUCACUGAGCAAAGAAUUAAUAAGUAUUGAUUAAUUGCAAUUACAAACGAAUUUAGACGGAA